GGGGCAUUUGGCAUGGGGAAACCCUGAUCAGCCAUGCCGCGUGAGUGAUGAAGGCCUUCGGGUUGUAAAGCUCUUUCGGCCGGGAAGAAAUGGUGAGGGCUAAUACCCUGUGGGGAUGACGGUUCCGGAACUAAAAGCACCGGCUAACUACGUGCCAGCAGCCGCGGUAAUA
rnacentral:rRNA from 1 species